rnacentral:rRNA from 1 species
CGGUGUUUAACUGGCGUGAUGUGGGACGUCCUACCGGUGGGCUUAGCCUCGCGAGGGGCGGCCCAACUAAUAUCCCGUCGCGGUGCUCUUUACUGAGUGUCGAGUCGGGCCGGUACGUUUACUUUGAACAAAUUAGAGUGCUUAAAGCAGGCUAUCCUCGCCUGAAUACUGCGUGCAUGGAAUAAUGGAAUAGGACCUCGGUUCUAUUUUGUUGGUUUUCGGAACCCCGAGGUAAUGAUUAAUAGGGACAGAUGGGGGCAUUCGUAUUGCGACGUUAGAGGUGAAAUUCUUGGAUCGUCGCAAGACGGACAGAAGCGAAAGCAUUUGCCAAAAAUGUUUUCAUUAAUCAAGAACGAAAGUUAGAGGUUCGAAGGCGAUCAGAUACCGCCCUAGUUCUAACCAUAAACGAUGCCAGCUAGCGAUCCGCCGAAGUUCCUCCGAUGACUCGGCGGGGCAGCUUCCGGGAAACCAAAGCUUUUGGGUUCCGGGGGAAGUAUGGUUGCAAAGCUGAAACUUAAAGGAAUUGACGGAAGGGCACCACCAGGAGUGGAGCCUGCGGCUUAAUUUGACUCAACACGGGAAACCUCACCAGGCCCAGACACCGGAAGGAUUGACAGAUUGAUAGCUCUUUCUUGAUUCGGUGGGUGGUGGUGCAUGGGCCGUUCUUAGUUGGUGGAGCGAUUUGUCUGGUUAAUUCCGAUAACGAACGAGACUCUAGCCUGCUAAAUAGGCGUACCUUAUGGUAUCGCGAAGGCCCCCGGCUUCGGCCGGUGGGUUUUUACUACCAACGUACAAACAAAUCUUCUUAGAGGGACAGGCGG